rnacentral:rRNA from 1 species
ACGCUGGCUACAGGCUUAACACAUGCAAGUCGAGGGGAAACGGCAUUGAGUGCUUGCACUGAAUGGACGUCGACCGGCGCACGGGUGAGUAACGCGUAUCCAACCUUCCCGUUACUGCGGGAUAACCUGCCGAAAGGCAGACUAAUACCGCAUGUUCUUCGAUGACGGCAUCAGAUUCGAAGCAAAGAUCCGUCGGUAACGGAGGGGGAUGCGUCUGAUUAGCUAGUUGGCGGGGCGACGGCCCACCAAGGCGACGAUCAGUAGGGGUUCUGAGAGGAAGGUCCCCCACAUUGGAACUGAGACACGGUCCAAACUCCUACGGGAGGCAGCAGUGAGGAAUAUUGGUCAAUGGGCGGAAGCCUGAACCAGCCAAGUAGCGCGCAGGAGGACGGCCCUACGGGUUGUAAACUGCUUUUAUGCGGGGAUAAAGUGAGGGACGCGUCCCUUUUUGCAGGUACCGCAUGAAUAAGGACCGGCUAAUUCCGUGCCAGCAGCCGCGGUAAUACGGAAGGUCCGGGCGUUAUCCGGAUUUAUUGGGUUUAAAGGGAGCGUAGGCCGGGGAUUAAGUGUGUUGUGAAAUGUAGGCGCCCAACGUCUGACUUGCAGCGCAUACUGGUUCCCUUGAGUACGCGCAACGCCGGCGGAAUUCGUCGUGUAGCGGUGAAAUGCUUAGAUAUGACGAAGAACCCCGAUUGCGAAGGCAGCCGGCGGGAGCGCAACUGACGCUGAAGCUCGAAGGUGCGGGUAUCGAACAGGAUUAGAUACCCUGGUAGUCCGCACGGUAAACGAUGGAUGCCCGCUGUCGGCGCCUUGCGCCGGCGGCCAAGCGAAAGCGUUAAGCAUCCCACCUGGGGAGUACGCCGGCAACGGUGAAACUCAAAGGAAUUGACGGGGGCCCGCACAAGCGGAG